rnacentral:rRNA from 1 species
UACGGAGGAUGCAAGCGUUAUCCGGAAUCAUUGGGCGUAAAGGGUCCUGAGGUGGUUUGCUAAGUCUACUGUGAAAGAUCAGGGCUCAACCCUGAAGAUGCGGUGGAAACUGGCAGGCUAGAAUACGGUAGGGGCAGGGGGAAUUCCCGGUGUAGCGGUGAAAUGCAUAGAUAUCGGGAAGAACACCAAAGGCGAAGGCACCCUGCUGGGCCGAUAUUGACGCUGAGGAGCGAAAGCGUGGGGAGCGAACAGG